GCUGGUGCUGAAAUAGGCCAUGAAGGAAUGUUCUAGCUAUCCGAAGAAGUGGAUACUUUCCGAGCGGAGGUCGGAGUACCAGGCCCUGGCAACUUUGCGGAGUGUGGUGGGGAAGUCGAUGCAAAGGAGGACAUCGGUUGCCCCUUGAAUUGUCAUGAGAGCCUUGUAGCUCUCCAGAUGGUCAAUUGGAUCGGUGGAGCCGUCGUAAGGCUCCACAUGAGGCAUC
rnacentral:lncRNA from 1 species